rnacentral:rRNA from 1 species
UAGGGAAUCUUCUUGCAAUGGGCGAAAGCCUGACGGAGCAACGCCGCGUGAGUGAAGAAGGAUUUCGGUUCGUAAAGCUCUGUUGUUAGGGAAGAAUGAUUGUAUAGUAACUAUAUACAGUAGAGACGGUACCUAACCAGAAAGCCACGGCUAACUACGUGCCAGCAGCCGCGGUAAUACGUAGGUGGCAAGCGUUGUCCGGAAUUAUUGGGCGUAAAGCGCGCGCAGGUGGUUUAAUAAGUCUGAUGUGAAAGCCCACGGCUCAACCGUGGAGGGUCAUUGGAAACUGUUAAACUUGAGUGCAGGAGAGAAAAGUGGAAUUCCUAGUGUAGCGGUGAAAUGCGUAGAGAUUAGGAGGAACACCAGUGGCGAAGGCGGCUUUUUGGCCUGUAACUGACACUGAGGCGCGAAAGCGUGGGGAGCAAACAGGAUUAGAUACCCUGGUAGUCCACGCCGUAAACGAUGAGUGCUAAGUGUUGGUCUCAUAAGAGAUCAGUGCUGCAGCUAACGCAUUAAGCACUCCGCCUGGGGAGUACGACCGCAAGGUUG